rfam:Podospora anserina genomic DNA, chromosome 5.
GCCCGGCUAGCUCAAUCGGUAGAGCGUGAGACUCUUAUGGAGUACUCCGGUAAUCUCAAGGUUGUGGGUUCGACCCCCACGUCGGGCU